rnacentral:rRNA from 1 species
CCCCUAGAUGUUCUGGGCCGCACGCGCGCUACACUGAACAGUUCAACAAGUUUUAACCUUGGCCGAUAGGUCUGGGUAAUCUUUGAACGCUGUUCGUGAUUGGGAUAGACCUUUGCAAUUAUGGGUCUUCAACGAGGAAUUCCUAGUAAACGCAAGUCAUCAGCUUGCAUUGAUUACGUCCCUGCCCUUUGUACACACCGCCCGUCGCACCUACCGAUUGAAUGGUCCGGUGAAAUCUCGGGACGGCGGCUUGGUCGCUUGCGUCCGACUGCUGAAACUUGAUUAAACCAUAUCAUUUAGAGGAAGGUGAAGUCGUAACA